GAUGAACGCUGGCGGCGUGCCUAAUACAUGCAAGUCGAGCGAACGGACGAGAAGCUUGCUUCUCUGAUGUUAGCGGCGGACGGGUGAGUAACACGUGGAUAACCUACCUAUAAGACUGGGAUAACUUCGGGAAACCGGAGCUAAUACCGGAUAAUAUUUUGAACCGCAUGGUUCAAAAGUGAAAGACGGUCUUGCUGUCACUUAUAGAUGGAUCCGCGCUGCGUUAGCUAGUUGGUAAGGUAACGGCUUACCAAGGCAACGAUGCAUAGCCGACCUGAGAGGGUGAUCGGCCACACUGGAACUGAGACGCGGUCCAGACUCCUACGGGAGGCAGCAGUAGGGAAUCGUCCGCAAUGGGCGAAAGCCUGACGGAGCAACGCCGCGUGAGUGAUGAAGGUCUUCGGAUCGUAAAACUCUGUUAUUAGGGAAGAACAUAUGUGUAAGUAACUGUGCACAUCUUGACGGUACCUAAUCAGAAAGCCACGGCUAACUACGUG
rnacentral:rRNA from 1 species